rnacentral:tRNA from 1 species
GCAUCUGUGGCCGAGAGGCCGAAGGCAGCGGACUCAUGAAUCCGCCAUCCUGUAGAGGACGUCGCUGGUUCGAAUCCAGCCAGAUGCAU